AUUGAACGCUGGCGGCAUGCCUUACACAUGCAAGUCGAACGGUAACGGGCCUUCGGGUGCCGACGAGUGGCGAACGGGUGAGUAAUACAUCGGAACGUGCCCGAUCGUGGGGGAUAACGAGGCGAAAGCUUUGCUAAUACCGCAUACGAUCUACGGAUGAAAGCAGGGGACCGCAAGGCCUUGCGCGGACGGAGCGGCCGAUGGCAGAUUAGGUAGUUGGUGGGAUAAAAGCUUACCAAGCCGACGAUCUGUAGCUGGUCUGAGAGGAUGGUCAGCCACACUGGGACUGAGACACGGCCCAGACUCCUACGGGAGGCAGCAGUGGGGAAUUUUGGACAAUGGGCGCAAGCCUGAUCCAGCCAUGCCGCGUGCAGGAUGAAGGCCUUCGGGUUGUAAACUGCUUUUGUACGGGACGAAAAGCCUUCUUUUAAUACAGGAGGGUCAUGACGGUACCGUAAGAAUAAGCACCGGCUAACUACGUG
rnacentral:rRNA from 1 species